rnacentral:rRNA from 1 species
UACGAAGGGUGCAAGCGUUACUCGGAAUUACUGGGCGUAAAGCGUGCGUAGGCGGUUUGUUAAGUCCGUUGUGAAAGCCCUGGGCUCAACCUGGGAAUUGCAGUGGAUACUGGCGAGCUAGAGUGCGGUAGAGGAUGGUGGAAUUCCCGGUGUAGCGGUGAAAUGCGUAGAGAUCGGGAGGAACACCCGUGGCGAAGGCGGCUCUCUGGGACGGUACUGACGCUGAGACGCGAAAGCGUGGGGAGCGAACAGG